GAGUUAAAGGAAGGGGAGGUUAUAUAACAGCUGGGUGUGUUCAGGUCAAAUCCCUUUGUUUGCGACCAUGCUGCCACCAAUAACCUCAACAGAGGAUUUCAGUUUGUUUCUCUCAAGAAAAAAGCCCUAUACAUCUUCAGAGCAGACACAGCUCAUCUGUGGAGGCAAGCUGCUGUCAAGG